CAGCUGCAAUGGAAGCAUCUCUAUUUGGAGGCUGCCUCCUUUGGAGCGUUCAGUAAGCUCUGAUUCUCAGAAAGGGGUGAAGGUGAGGAAUAUCAGAACAAUUUUUCAUCUUGCGAUGGUGACUGUUGAACAAACACUAGCUGUAAAGACAAUAGAAAGGCUCCCACUCUUUCUAAAGAAAGCUGGAUUGGGCCCUGGGGGAAAAAUCAAUGCUGAAUAGGAUCAGGAUAAACAGCAAAAGUGAAGAAAUAUGACUGCAAAUUCCAUUGGACCCAAACCCCAAAACAAGAGUAUAUAUUCUUAACGCUCUGCAGCAAUACUCUAGCUCCACUGACUGAUCUAAAGCAGGAAUUGGUGCCUCCUGGAAACGCGCUUCCUUAAGAAAUGUGUUCAGCUAAGAUCUCUUCUUCAUACUGAUGCAAGUCCCACACGUACUUGGUUUGUUUUUUUCUGCAUGUGUUUAGUUUUCACUGUUCUCUUUCAUGCAGAUUUCCAUGAGAUUUCACUGUUUAUCAUUUGCUACAUAUUUUUACUUUGGUUGCCAUUGCUGAUGUUCUCACUAUCAUAGGAUUAACAGACGAAAAAAGUACAACGUCACAGAAAGCAGAAAAGCUGAUCUGUUGAGAAUUAGUGUGAUCAUAUUAGCAUGACUGGAAAACAACAGCUUAGAUCCUGACACAGGAAAUUAAACAAUGUUUCCUCUGUGAAUGAGUGAGCAAUUCUGGAAAAAGCACUUAGCUGAAACAUUCUUCUCUACCCCACUUUCUCCUUCUUUGAUAAAACAAGGUCACUUGUUCAUGUAAGUAUUCAAUUAAUUUGAUUUAUUUCCUCAGAUAAUACCAGCUUCUCCUUGACAACAGCAGCUGAGGGGGUGUUAUGAGAUGCACCAAAGUUUACAUUUCUGGGGCUCAUUAAGUCACAUCGUUGGAUGUAAUCUAGGUUGUUCAAAAUAUUCACAAUGUUACGACUUUUAUUUGAUGGUAUCUGAGCAUAACUGGCAAAAAAAAAAAAAAAAAAAAGAAAAAGAAAAAAAAGAAAAAUCCACUUGAUUAUUCCUUCAGCAACAUUUAAUAUUCUAAUAACCAUUUCCAGCUAGCCCUUUUUCUUCUCAGAUGCUCAAAGGAAGCUGGCACAAACAUUUUCUACAAGCUCCAGCAAAUGAACCCCUUGUAUAGAAAUUGAAGUGUCUAAUCUAAUCUGUUGAGGGAUCUGCACCACAUGCAUUACCCUGACAUUUAAGGUCUCAUAGUCAGUGACCGGUUAACCAAAUCUGUCACUAUGACAGACAUGUAUUUCUACAUGCCGUGCCACAACUUAAUCUUUCAGGCACAGUUUAGGUGAAGGAUGUUGUAGCACACUGAAUCAGAAUCUAUAAUAUAUGCGAUGAAGAAAUUUCCCGCUUGAUGUUACAAUAGAUCCAUUUUGAGUGCCAUAACUAUAAUAAAGCAUAUGAAUUCGUCUACUAAGCUAUACACAAUAGAUCAGCUGUUAGAUUGCAUCAUGCUAGUUAUCUUCACAAUUACUGUUAUUAUUAUGUGUUGUUACAACCCUCCACCUCUUCCCUUUUCCCUGAUACCAGAAACUGUGACAAUGAGUUUCUGGAAGAGAAGGUUAUUUUGGAAAUCGCUGCUAAGUGACACAUCUGAACUUCUAAAUUACCUCUUUUGAUACCCUGUGAUUACCAUGCGUCACACAGUAAAUCUGUGAGUCAGAAUGUUAUCUGACAUCGCCUGAUAGCAUAAUAGAUAACGUCAUUCAUAGCUCCAGUGCAUUUAUUAUUUUAACUAACCGAAGAACAGAUGGAAUUCCCCUAGCACACUUGGAUUUCUACCCCCUUGUGCUCUCCAGUUGUGUUGUUUGCUUUGGUGCUGAGCCUGCAUCCAGACCUCUGCACCUGCUGCCCCAGCUUGGCCUGGUGCAUGGUGUCCCACUACUGCCAGGUGGAGCAACACACACACGUUGCCAUCCAUUUCUUUCCACAGAACAGGUGUUCUCCAUCCAGGAAAGCUGCGUCAGCUCUGUCAUUGGCUCAGGGCAUCAGAGGCCUGCUGCUGCUUGAGGCUGCCACAGGCAGUGUGCACUGCACCCCACCCGUGUUGACAUUUGGGUUUAUUAAGUCAGUGGCAGACUUGGCUGAACUUUAUCCCUGGAGAAUUUGUUUUGUUUCUAAAGCUUUGGGGGCCACAAAAUAGGGACAUAAAACUAUUAGGGAGCGUCCAAAGGAGGGCCUCAAAGGUGGUGAAGGGUCUGGAGGACAAGGGAUGUAAGGAGUGGCUCAGCUCCCUCGGUUGGUUCAGCCCAGAGCUGAGGAGGCUGAGGGGAGGCCUCGUGGCGGCACAGAGCUCUGCUCUCUGAUGGCAGUGACAAGGCCUGAGGGAAUGGCAUGGGCCUGCAUCAGGGAAGGGUCAGGCAGGGUGUUAAGAAAAGGUACUUCAUCAAAGGGUGGUCAGGCCCUGGAGCAGGCUCCCCAGGACAGUGGUCACACCCCAAAACUGCUGGUGUUCAAGGAGCAUUCGGACAAUGCUCUCAGACACAGGAUUUGAUUUUGGGUUGUUAUUUGUGGAGCCAGGAUUUGAAUUUGAUGAUCCUUGUGGGUCCCUUCCAGCUUGUGAUCUUCUGUGAUUCUGUUUCUAACCAUCUACGCCAGCCAGUAGCCCUGCCCCUUGAAGAAAAAAAAAAAAAAUACGUUCUUGAUGGAGAAGGAGAGACUUCUGCCACCGUGACUCAGCAGCAAUUAUGCUGAUUUUUCUGCAGAGUUUAUUAAGAUGUUCCAGAAAAGGAGUUGUGCAACCCUAGUGUGGAAGCUCAGCAAUCCCACUGUGGCAAGGACUAAGUCAUGAUGAUCAGGGUCUUGGCAGUAGGUCCAGGAACAAACUGAGAGCUGGUGUUCAAAUGUAAGGACUGCAGUUGUUCUGACAAAGCAUACCAGCUCCUAAAAUCUGGGUUACUGCGUGCUGUGCUUCAGGCUGAAAAGUUUCAUUGCACAGCUCCCAAAUCAAUGUGAUCUGCUAACGGCCCCUCAAAGCUCUCAGGGUGCCCUCCCCACCCUGUCUGCAAUUACUGCCUCUGGUGAUGGUAGCACACACCCGAGCCUGAGGAAAAGCAGCCGAGAUGUUUGUGGCACUUCAGGCAGCCUUCUCAAGAGCACUUUAAAUACUGCUUGAAAGAGGUUUUAAUGCACUUAGUAUAUUGUGAAGCUGCUAAGAACAGUGUUAAAUAAUCACAGAGCAGGGCAAGAGAAGUUGUUGAAAGCUCCCCAAUUUAUUAGAUGCAGCUUGCUGUACAGACUCCCAUUCUUCUGUGGCAGUGUGAUGGCCACUUGAUAGAAAUCACCAGGAAUGGUUACAAAGGAGUGACUGGCAGAAAAUGGAAGCAGGAUGUUAAUAACUCUAAA
ensembl:lncRNA